CCGCUUCCUGUACUUGCCAGAGAUGGCUUGGUGCCUUCGGGAACCGUGAGACAGGUGCUGCAUGGCUGUCGUCAGCUCGUGUUGUGAAAUGUUGGGUUAAGUCCCGCAACGAGCGCAACCCUUAUCCUUUGUUGCCAGCACUUCGGGUGGGAACUCAAAGGAGACUGCCGGUGAUAAACCGGAGGAAGGUGGGGAUGACGUCAAGUCAUCAUGGCCCUUACGAGUAGGGCUACACACGUGCUACAAUGGCGUAUACAAAGAGAAGCAAACUCGCGAGAGCCAGCGGACCUCAUAAAGUACGUCGUAGUCCGGAUUGGAGUCUGCAACUCGACUCCAUGAAGUCGGAAUCGCUAGUAAUCGUAGAUCAGAAUGCUACGGUGAAUACGUUCCCGGGUCUUGUACCCACCGAUAA
rnacentral:rRNA from 1 species